GCUAGUGUAGCUUAAAACAAAGCAUAACACUGAAGAUGUUAAGAUGAACCCUAGAAAUGUUCCACGGGCAC
rnacentral:tRNA from 1 species